GCCCCCCCCCGGGCUGUGUUUGGCAGCCCAGCCGGAAGGAGCCAUCACAAAGGAAACGCUGACAGCUCCUCCUCAGACCCUGUCAUUACUCUCGGGUGCACAGAGCCACGUGCUGUGGCUGCGAGGGCCUGCCGGCAGCGAGCCUGGCCUGGCAGAUAAGGGCAGUCACCCUCCCAGCCUUCCACGGCAGGGCCUGGGGGGCCACGAGGGCCCUGGGUGCGGGCGGGGAGGAAGCCUGCUCAGGGCCCUGCCUCCUCUCCUGGGCAGCGCCUUCCUGUCAUCCUUAAAGCCACCUCUUCCUUCCUCUGCAGCCCACCUUGCACUUGAGACCACGCCUGGAGCUGAGCCCACCCUAGGGAGCGCCCCUGCCCUAAGGAACAUCCUACAGGAGGGAGGCAGGGGUGUGGCCUGGCUCAUUCCCAGAGGUCGGGCCCCAGUGCCUCCAGGCACAGGCCUGGAUGUCCUGGAGACCCCAGAGAUGGGCCAGUGCAGGGUCUGAGUUGGGAGGAUAAUGAGCACAGCCCAGAUGGAAGCCCCAGAGCUGCCACCCUGUCCUGUAUGACAGCCAACCCCAGGGACCCUCUGCAGCUCAGUCCGAGCUAGGCCUUUGACCCACUUCCCCCAGAGCGGUUUGGCAGAAUGGAGAGCGCCUCCCUGCUCUCUCCGACCAGCCCUGGUGGGCCCGCACUCAAAACUCCUGGGCCAGACAGCACUGUGACACCCUGGCUGACACAGACGUGUCCCUCUGCGGGAGAGGGGGGCCCAGGCCGAGGAGGAGGGUCAGGGGAGCGGUGACAUCCGACCCCGGUAGGGUUGUAUCCACAGGCCCGACCCUGACCAGCUGGCACAGCUCAGUAAGCACGAUUCAACCGGGCUUGCAAGGGGGGUUCAGAGCUGAGCCCCUCUGUGUGCACAGGGGCAGUGCCAGGUGGGGGUGGGGUGUCAGGGAGGGCACAUGGACCCUGGAGCAGGGUCCCCAGCCUUCUGUGGGCAGAGCCCUACCCGGUAUGAAACCCACGCCCCUGGCUAGCUCUUACAUACAGCCCACCCAAAGGGACCCGUAUUUGACACUGGACCGGGAGGCCUCGGGUCGCAUCCUUGUCUCCUCCCCGCCAAUCUCUGGGGACCGAGGGGCAGGCUGGCACGGCCGCGCCCGGCGGGUGAGGAGUACCGGGGUCUUCAGGUCCUUUAGCUGGUUUCGCAGCUGGAAGAGCUCAGUGGAGGUCAGCAGGAUGGUGUUGAGGGUGUGGACCAUGGUCGAGGCAAACGUGAGGUCCUCCUCCCGGAGCAGGAUGUCUGCCACCGAGGGG
rnacentral:lncRNA from 1 species